UACAGAGGGUGCAAGCGUUAAUCGGAAUUACUGGGCGUAAAGCGUGCGUAGACGGUAGCGUAAGUCGGGUGUGAAAGCCCCGGGCUCAACCUGGGAAUUGCAUUCGAGACUGCUCUGCUAGGGUGCGGAAGAGGGAAGCGGAAUUUCCGGUGUAGCGGUGAAAUGCGUAGAUAUAGGAAGGAACACCAGUGGCGAAGGCGACCACCUGGACUGAUACUGACACUGAGGUGCGAAAGCGUGGGGAGCAAACAGG
rnacentral:rRNA from 1 species